rnacentral:rRNA from 1 species
UGGGGAAUAUUGGACAAUGGAGGAAACUCUGAUCCAGCAACGCCGCGUGAGUGAAGAAGGCUUUCGGGUUGUAAAACUCUUUCAGUAGGGAAGAUAAUGACGGUACCUACAGAAGAAGCCCCGGCUAACUCCGUGCCAGCAGCCGCGGUAAGACGUAGGGGGCUAGCGUUGUUCGGAAUUACUGGGCGUAAAGGGUGCGUAGGCGGCCAAUUAAGUUAGACGUGAAAGCCCAGAGCUUAACUUUGGAAUUGCGCCUAAUACUGGUUGGCUAGAGUUCGGUAGAGGAAAGUAGAAUUCCUAGUGUAGAGGUGAAAUUCGUAGAUAUUAGGAAGAAUACCAGAGGCGAAGGCGGCUUUCUGGACCGAUACUGACGCUGAGGCACGAAAGCGUGGGGAGCAAACAGG